UACGGGGGGGGCAAGCGUUGUUCGGAAUUACUGGGCGUAAAGGGCUCGUAGGCGGCCAACUAAGUCGGAUGUGAAAUCCCCAGGCUUAGCCUGGGAACUGCAUCCGAUACUGGAUGGCUUGAAUCCGGGAGAGGGAUGCAGAAUUCCAGGUGUAGCGGUGAAAUGCGUAGAUAUCUGGAGGAAUACCGGUGGCGAAGGCGGCAUCCUGGACCGGCAUUGACGCUGAUGAGCGAAAGCUAGGGGAGCAAACGGG
rnacentral:rRNA from 1 species